GAGCUCUGGAUCUCCAUGCAGCUUUGCACUAACAAACACCGAGGGAAGGUCUACGCAUGUGGCACACAUAAGGCAGAAAAAAACACUCCUCUCUGUGAUGUUGACGACUGAAUGUAUUAGAGCUGAAGCGACUGGCUGCGUUUUUUUACUUCAGGAUGAAGAGCGCAGAUGUUACUGAUGCAGCAGAAAUUCAAGAUGGGGGUGAAGUGGCAGGAAGACAUAAAAUCACUUUCAGAUAUCGCAAUGCAGCCACUGCAGCUGCAUCUGGCCUCCUGUGAAGCACGUGGCGAAUACCCUGCCGUUAAAUAUACUUUCAGGUCUUCCCAGGCACUUCUUGACCCAGAAACAAACAAACGUGCACGGAGGAGAGGAGGAGAGAGAGAUCUGCGGCAGCUGUUAUCUUGGCUCGAGCUCACUUCCUUUCAGGAGGCUUUUCUUCAGCCUGGCGCUGUUUGGCUAUUUAUUUAUUUAUUUCGCCGCUCGACGUGACGCCGGCUUUUCAGAGGACCAGGCGAAGACGAACGCUGGCCGUUGGUGUCGCGCACGUG